AGGCUUCGGCAGCACAUACACUAAAAUUGGAAUGAUACAGAGAAGAUUAGUGUGGACCCUAUGCAAGGAUGACAAGCAAAUUCGCGAAGCAUUCCAUAUGUUU
rnacentral:snRNA from 1 species